AACGAACGCUGGCGGCAGGCCUAACACAUGCAAGUCGAGCGCGCCUUCGGGUGAGCGGCGGCCGGGUGCGUAACGCGUGGGAAUAUGCCCUUCUCUACGGAAUAGUCCUGGGAAACUGGGGGUAAUACCGUAUACGCCCUUUGGGGGAAAGAUUUAUCGGGGAAGGAUUAGCCCGCGUUGGAUUAGGUAGUUGGUGGGGUAAUGGCCUACCAAGCCGACGAUCCAUAGCUGGUUUGAGAGGAUGAUCAGCCACACUGGGACUGAGACACGGCCCAGACUCCUACGGGAGGCAGCAGUGGGGAAUCUUAGACAAUGGGGGCAACACUGAUCUAGCCAUGCCGCGUGAGUGAUGAAGGCCUUAGGGUUGUAAAGCUCUUUCAGCUGGGAAGAUAAUGACGGUACCAGCAGAAGAAGCCCCGGCUAACUCCGUG
rnacentral:rRNA from 1 species